GAGGGACACCGAGGACCGAAGCCGUAGUGCGCACGCGCGGCGGCAGGAACGAGUUCCGGUCUGGCCGGGGCCUGUCUCCUAAAAAUAGCCCCGGUGUGGGGAUCCGUGCGCGGAUGUCCCGGCGAGUCCCGGGCUGAAGGAGGCGGCUCCGGGCGGCGCGGAGCGCUGGUGGCUGGCCCGGGCUGCAGCGUGUGUGCGCUCGCCAGCUGCGCCGGAGACACGGAAUUGCAUUUUGUGAAAAAGGAACAAAGAAGAAUUUUCUGCAAGGAUCAUAUUAAGUGCACUUUUUUGCUGAUACAUCAUUUCUAAGAGAGAACUCACAAGCAGGGUGAGAGGGAGA